rnacentral:lncRNA from 10 species
UCUGAAUAGACAAGCAUCAAAGUGCAAGGUGGGAGUGAAGUUGGAAUGGAAGAGCAAGGAGAUCUAGGAAAAGAGUUGCAGGGUGAAGAAGGACUCCAGAGUGUUUACUGUCAAUACAGAGUAUUGAAGAGAAAAGAAGUCCAGAGAGGAGGUGUCUGCAGCUAGUCUGUGUGUCUUGGACUCAAAGAGUGUCAGGUGGGCUUCAAAGGCCAGAGGCAAGGCAGAUAAAACAGAUUUUUAAAAAUUGAAGUGAAAAGAAACAGAUUUUAUUUUGAGAAUUUGUACACUGGGAGUAGGCAGCACUGAUGUGAAGUGAAAAAGGAUUUUUUUUUUUUAAUGUCAUGCCUUCAUUUGUACACCACCUACAGCUUCAAAAUCCUUUUAUAUGUAUCCAUCUAAUCCUUAAGGUGGGCAUGAGCCUCUUUUGGCGGUCGGCAAGGAUGGGAAAGAUUACACGAUUUCAGGUCUCACAGAGAAAGUGAUGGAGCUGUAGCUUGAAUUCUAAGCUUUUACUUCAAAUCCACAAUGCCAUGCCUCACUCCAGUGAAGGACGGACUCCUGUUCUGUCUCCUAAAACCCACACAGCUCGCCUGGAGCUUCAAACGUGAGAACACAUUCCAGUUGCAGGAUCAGAGGACUUUUCCUACAGCACGACCUCUGAUCCCUGAAGGGAGGACCCAGAGUCACCAGCCUGCCAAGAAGCACCGAGCAUCUGCUCUGGAGAAGGGAGUUAGGAAGGAAACGUGUGAACCACGCAGCCAGACCGGUCUCCAGAUGGCGAGACCUCUGAGGAAUUCAUCUGUGGUCAAUAGCACUGGAAUCACCCAUGAGUCCAAGAUGGAAGGCUGA